CUUUGCAUUUGACAUCGAGGAAGCCUAUAGAAGUUGCGGUUACGUUACAAUGGACGUUACUGGAAAACUGCUGAUUUUCGCCACCGCAGUUCUGUUGUUUCUUCUGUAUAUCCUUACGAUUUAUGGGUGGUACUACGGUAUUAUAAUUUCGAAAAGAGUCUAGCUGAAGGGUUUACCGGAAUUCUAUAAGAAGGUGGAAUGCGUGCAAGUUUGAAGCUGAAGUAAUUUUAUAACAAGAAGAGAUACUGCUUCUCAAAUAACUACCAACAAAAUGCGGCCAUGAUACGGGUGAGUCCAAGAGAGACGUUUCGGAAUGCGCUGAAGAACCAUCGAGUUUACUAGAAGCUUUCACCUAAACUAAGAGAGACUCUAAUGCAACAGCUUUUCCUUCGGGAGGCGUUUGGACGUAUUGAUGCCGCAAAGUCAGAUUAUGUAGAAUGUAAUAUCUUAGGUCACAUAAGACAGAUGGUACUAUAUCCCUGUUGCACUGGUUGCCGAUUUGAUUUGCAAGGAGAUGCUUUUUUUGUCGUGCUCAUGGACUGUUGGAGUACUGCGUUGUCGCUUUUAUGUAUAAAUGUUACUUCUACGACAUGUUUCGACCUCGUAAGAUCAUCAUCAGGCAGAUACGUUUAAUGAUAAGGAGACGGCAUUCAAGUAUAUUUGAUGUCCGAUGGUUCAUAGCAGCAGACUGUGAUACUGACCACUGUCUGGUGGCAAAAGUUAAGGAGAGGCUGGCAUUUCAGCAGUGAACAUAACAGGGAAGACAAGGCGCUGCUCGCGUCGCGAUAACAUUUCUCAUACGAAUCACUGGACCAAAGAAAAUGUGGGGAUAUGCAGCUGCAUCUUCAUCAAGCCUGAAUGAGUGUAACCCCGGCUUCGUUCGGUCCCCUCCUACGCAGAAUGGCUGGAUCCUGUCGGUGUCUCUGCCCAUCAGUGAGAGAGGCGAGUUUUGACUGCCUGUGUCAGCACCCCCCUCAGAAUAAGUUUGCUUCCAUUUAUUUCCACUGAAGUUCAAAUGACCUUUUUUUUUUCUUGGCAUUACAGCCCCAGUGGGCCUACGCCUACCUCCAUGAACU